rnacentral:rRNA from 1 species
UACGGAGGAUCCGAGCGUUAUCCGGAUUUAUUGGGUUUAAAGGGUGCGUAGGUGGAUUGGUAAGUCAGUGGUGAAAGUUUGCAGCUUAACUGUAAAAUCGCCGUUGAAACUGCCGGUCUUGAGUGCAAAUGAGGUAGGCGGAAUGCGUCGUGUAGCGGUGAAAUGCUUAGAUAUGACGCAGAACUCCGAUUGCGAAGGCAGCUUACUGGGAUGCAACUGACGCUGAGGCACGAAAGCGUGGGUAUCAAACAGGAUUAGAUACCCCU